GUAGGUGGCAAGCGUUGUCCGGAAUUAUUGGGCGUAAAGCGCGCGCAGGCGGUUCUUUAAGUCUGAUGUGAAAGCCCACGGCUCAACCGUGGAGGGUCAUUGGAAACUGGAGAACUUGAGUACAGAAGAGGAAAGCGGAAUUCCACGUGUAGCGGUGAAAUGCGUAGAGAUGUGGAGGAACACCAGUGGCGAAGGCGGCUUUCUGGUCUGUAACUGACGCUGAGGCGCGAAAGCGUGGGGAGCAAACAGGAUUAGAUACCCUGGUAGUCCACGCCGUAAACGAUGAGUGCUAAGUGUUAGGGGGUUUCCGUCCCCUUAGUGCUGCAGCUAACGCAUUAAGCACUCCGCCUGGGAGUACGGCCGCAAGGCUG
rnacentral:rRNA from 1 species